rnacentral:rRNA from 1 species
AGUGAACGCUGGCGGUAGGCCUAACACAUGCCAGUCGAACGGCAGCACAGUAAGAGCUUGCUCUUACGGGUGGCGAGUGGCGGACGGGUGAGGAAUACAUCGGAAUCUACUUUUUCGUGGGGGAUAACGUAGGGAAACUUACGCUAAUACCGCAUACGACCUACGGGUGAAAGCAGGGGAUCUUCGGACCUUGCGCGAUUGAAUGAGCCGAUGUCGGAUUAGCUAGUUGGCGGGGUAAAGGCCCACCAAGGCGACGAUCCGUAGCUGGUCUGAGAGGAUGAUCAGCCACACUGGAACUGAGACACGGUCCAGACUCCUACGGGAGGCAGCAGUGGGGAAUAUUGGGCAAUGGGCGCAAGCCUGAUCCAGCCAUACCGCGUGAGUGAAGAAGGCCUUCGGGUUGUAAAGCCCUUUUGUUGGGAAAGAAAAGCAGCAGGUUAAUACCCCGCUGUUCUGACGGUACCCAAAGAAUAAGCACCGGCUAACUUCGUG